rnacentral:tRNA from 1 species
AAGGAUUUAAGUUAAAAAUAAACCCACAACCUUCAAAGUUGUACAUAAAGCAGUACCUUUAAGCCUUA